rnacentral:tRNA from 1 species
GGGCCGAUCGUCUAGCCAGAGUCAAAAUGACUCCUAUAUUGGUCUAGGACAUCUAGCUACGUCUGAAGCUGGUUAAGCUCUGACACGGCGAAUGUUGGGAAACAGCUAUGGUCCCCGGUUCAAAUCCGGGUCGGCCCA